UAAUUCGAGAUUGCAACCUUUGGGAUGAUCCUGCUAAAUCCUAUGAUGUUCUUGUGAAGUUGGCAGACAUCGCCAGAGCAGUCGAUGCCCUGGGGAUUUAACUUACAAGGCGGAAGAAGCAAAGCUGAUAACUCAACUGGUGGAGAUGGAUGCUAUUAAUUAUGCUCUUUUCGAGUAGGCAUACACUUCGUCUUUGGAUAUGAGUAAGUUUUUGGACUGUUAUGAGAUGUUGAAGCUUCUUAAGGGACCAUAUGAUGUGGAUGGAGCGUCGAUGGUCAUCAAAGCUGAAUCCAAUGGCAAUUACCAUGAGUUAUGGGCUGAAAAACUACUGAGAAUGUACCAAAAAUGGGCUGAGAAGCAAGGUUAUUGAGGGAGGAUUGUAGAGAAGUGUCGGGCAACUAAUGGUGGAAUCACUUCUACAACGGUUGAAUUUGAAUUUGAUUAUGCAUAUGUUUGUCUUCAAGGGGAGAGGGGUGUUCAUCGAAUGAUAAGUGGUUCAGAAACUGGAUCAACAAUUGAUGAGGUUAGCCUAGCAGCUGUCGAUAUAAUUCCUCUGUUCCGUGGUUCGGCCCUUGACCUAAAAAUUAGUGAGGAGGAUUUGCUAAUCUUGUGCCCAUCGUCAUCACCUGACCUCAACACACGUUCAUGAUUGUCUGUCUAGUACGACAUUUCGUGAUUGAGAAAUAAGAUCUCAAAAUUUUUAUCCCAGGUGAAAGGAGCAUU